rnacentral:rRNA from 1 species
CUUGGUGGCCAUAGCGGAGGAGUCACACCUGUUCCCAUCUCGAACACAGAAGUUAAGCCCUCCAGCGCCGAUGGUACUUGGGACGUGGGUCCCUGGGAGAGUAGGACGCCGCCAGUU